rnacentral:lncRNA from 1 species
GGCAAUUAUCUUUUUACUGAUUUCUUUUUCACCUGAAAGGAAACCACCUAAACAGGAAAAAAAAAAAAAAAAAAAAAAAAAAAAAAAAACCCCUGACAGUUAAUCUGGAUUAAUUUGUGUUUUCUCAUUGCUUUGUUUCAAUGUUAAUGGAUAAUCUUAGGUUCAAAAGAUAUAUCCUGCCAUGUGGCUGAAGACUGAGUGUCCAGAACUCUUUGGUAAACAGCACUUAUGGCCACCAGUAUGCAGCUAUCUGAACUAUGUAACUACACACCCAGAAGCCAUGCUCAGUGUGAGGACCAAAGUGAACUGCAGCCAUUCUCAGCAAAAAGGUCCUGAGCUUCUCUGAUGAUAGUGGCCAAAUUCACAUCAGGGAAGAAGAUCCUCCAUAACUAACAACUCCAAACAACAAGAACACUUAGGAGAACCCAUGAUGCUACUCGUCCUCUCCAUGUCUAUUUUACGCUGGUAAUUUUUCUCAAGUGGGCCAUCUAUACUCAACAGUGUGCUGACUUAAUUCAGCUGUGUUACAGUGAUCACCAGUUUUUAAUUAAUAGCAAUCAUUUGAUAUUAAAAUAUUGUUUCUUCAAAAAAUAUGAUUCAUAAGGCCAGUAAUCAAGGAAUGGAAGUAGGAAUGGUACCACUUUCAAAUGGUACCUUAGUGGCUCACUAGAAACUAGUUUUUUCCUGUUCCACUAAUCUUAUUCUAUGCUAGCCUAGAAGUCUUGUUUCCAAAUGGGCAAUAGUUUUUACCCGGAUAUAGAACAAAGAUUCAAUUGAACCACGACCUGAGACUCCCUUAUGACCAUUUUGGACUCGUCAUGCAUCUAAGUCAAUGAGAUAAAAUGGAUGAUAUGGUGUUUGUUUGGAAAUUUGAUCUGGACUAUCAAAGGAAAACCGGAUUGCUACUUCAAAUUCAGCUAAGGAAAAACAGGUGUGGAGUAUAGAAUCCCUUAGGGCAUCUUUAGUGUUACCAUGCUUAUUGAGGUCAAUGGAAAACUACAACAGUCCUGUCUACACAGAAUGACAAAUAACAAGGAAAAUUCAGGGAUGACAACAUGAAUUACUCUAUUGUGUAAAAACCAAAUCCAUUAAGGUGCUUUUUGGAGGCCACGGGAAUAUAGAAAGUGUAGUAUAAAAGAUAUUCAUAAAUACCAGUUUUAACUAUGUGACCAGUCAUGAAAUGGAGAUUUUAAUUACUGUACACCAAUUUCUAUUUUCUGUAUAAUAUACCUUUGAUUGCCUUAACAUUUUUACCUAAGUACUGUUAAAUCUACAUUAUAUUAUUUAAUUACAGAAUACUAGGAGACGAGUAAUCAUCACCCAGUAAAAUCAUUGUCUCCUAUAGUGAGAUGAAAUUUAUUAUAUUUCUGUUUUUUUACUCAAGAUAAUUGUAACAUGCUAGGUAAAACUGUGAAUUUCAGAUUGUAUUUCAAAAUUAAAUAGAGUUUAAGAUAUGCCUAUUCAUCAAGUUGACAAAGGAUGAUUUUUGUUUAUUAUUUAUAUAUGUCUACUUGAAUGGAUUAAUAAGAAUACAGUGUGUUACUAGUAUAAAAUAUAUUUUUGGGUGUCUCUAUGAAUGGUUAUCUGCAGAGUCCCAAGAUAAGUGGGAAAGACUCAUCCCUUAUGCAAUUGGUGAAAAUUAAUAGGCUUGUACCUGGCUGAACUAAAAAUUUUGAAAGAAUGAUAUUCAUUUUUAAAGAACUCUAUACUUCCCUGUUGCUUUUCAAUGUUGGUUUCAACAUAUCCAAUUUCUUUAUCCUUCAACUGCAGACUCAUCCCAACAACCCUCCAGUAAUUAUCCAAACAUUUGACCAUGAGCUGGUUCUGAACUUUUGAUCUUUCUUGUUCUGAAACUUUCCCUAUAUUGGAUGAGCACCACCUGGAGGUUCCAGCUCCCCAACACAAAUAGGGCCAUUCAGUCUCUAGCGUCUGAUCCUGUAAGCCUACUAAUAAAUACCCAGACUAAUCAAACAAAUCUUUCUAUUGAUUCUGUUACUUAUUGGAAAAAAGAAGAUUGACAAAAAGUAAAGACUGAAAAAAUCUUCAGGAAGCACAAGCAAUAAAACUAUGAAGAUGAAUAAAGAAAAAAUAAUCUUUACUUAUGUAGCUAUAAUAGCUUGGAAAUAUGUUCAAGUACUCUUGUUACCACUGCUAAAGUAUAAAAGCCAUCAUUUGAAAAUAAGUAUUUAAAUAUACAAGUAGGAAAUCUCAGAAGAGUUAACUGAUAUUAAGUGGAAGCUGCUUGAUAGCAUAAGGAGGAGCUCAUUUUAACUAAACAUACUGGAAAUGUAAGUGGAGAGAAUACUAAAUGCACUGUUCGUUAUUAAAUUUGGCAUCAAGUUUGUUGGAAAAGAACAGAUAAAAGCAGGAUUUUGGUAAGUAGGGAUGCCAGCUUUUGUUCAAUUUUAUUUUUUUAAAGUCUUAAGCACAAGUAAAGAUAUCUAAAUAUUGGAGGAUAUAAACUGAUGGAGUGAAAAGAUGUGACUACAUCAAAGAAUAGAGUCCAAAGGCAGCUUUAGAGAAAUCUGAAAGGCAGCCCAGAGCAGAAGAAAUGACAUUAUGUGUUCCCUGCUCUGUAAAACUGGCUCUUGGAAAUGCUAACAUGAUUCUUACUUAGACACUUAUUAAAUAAUUCAGAUUUUUCCAAGAUAUAUGCAAAUAUCUUAAGCUAAUAUUCUAUUGACCAAAAGUUUCUGGUCACUUAAUGUUACUGGAUAUAGCAGUAUCACUAAAUGAUAUUUCUAUAUAAGAAAUACAUAAGAAAAUCGUUUAUCUACAAUAAUCUACCAAUUUUUAUCCAAUCUUAGAAAACUUAAUGGAAUAAUAAUUUAGUGUACUUAUAACUGGCUGACUCUAUAUCCAGAAAUAUUGCCAUGUUAUUGAUUUCUACCCUUCCUAAUUUCAAGGUAGUUCAUAAAUCUUAAAUUAUAAAUUUAAAUAGGAAAAUAUAUUGAAAACUAUUGUUUGGUUAGUUAUUUGUGGUUGUACAAUUUCUGGGUCAUAAUUUCAUAUAAACAAAUAUUAGCAAGGGGAAAUUAUAGUUUGCUUCUUGGCUGAGCUGUCACUUGUUUAAUCUCAGCUUGGUCAAUUUCUAGUAAAGAAAAUUGAGGUGAAAAGAUCACUGUGUUUUCUGCAUUGUUUUCAUUAUUUCAUGCUUAGCAAAAUUGUUCUCUGCAAUGUCACCCUUUUUUUCCCUAAACUACUAGUAAUAGAAUUUGGUUUGACUUUGU